AAAAAAUUCAAGUAACUCCAUAGUGGGGUUGGGGGCCACAAACAUUGCACAUGGAAAAAAAAAAUAUAAAAAAGUACCACAAAGGUUAUUCCUGCUUAUUUUCAUAAAUUUUAAAGAGUUCCGACCAAAAAAAUUAGUGUUUAUCGGAUCUAAUUAAUCUUUACUUGCCACAAAAAAGCACGAUUAAGAUUAUUCCUAUUUGUUUUCGUAAGUAUUAAGCGAUCAAACUUCGUGCGCAGAUUCUGCUGCUAAGCAAUCCUACGAAAAAAAGAAAAAAAAAAAAAAAACAAUGUUUCAACCUGAAGGCCGGGGAUUUAAAUCUCAAUCGAGAAAUGUUCAAAUCUGAGCACUUUGGCGUUGUCUGGGAUUGCGGGCCAUAAACAUUGUGCAUGACAGUACUAAAAAAUGUACGAUAAAAAUUAUUCCUAACUUGUUUCAUAAGAUUCAUGUUAUGGCAUGUUUGUGUACACUUUGGACUAAGCAAUCCUCCGUUCAUUAUUUUUUCUUUCUAGUUGUUUUUGAGAAAGCAACAUCAUAAUUAAAUCCUAAAUCUUAAAACCUAAGCAUUAUAAUUAAACCCUAAAUCCUCUACGUAUGGGCGUCAUUACAUCUGAAUGCAAUGAGGUUUUGAUACUGUUUUAAAAAUAUACAAUCAAUUCAUUUAAAGCGUAUGGAUACAGUGUCCACGAAUCUCGAUUGAGACUCAAUUCAUCCAGCCUUACGCCACUCCGAACAUGACUCGACCCAAUCGGAUCUCACGUCAUUUGGAAUGUGACUCAGUCCACUUGACCUCCCACAGAACAGAAUACUUUUUUAAAAUGUAGCUUUUUAGAUUUGAUUGAUAUUAACAAUUGAUUCCCCACAUUGGCUUCUCACAAAUAAAACACCUUUUCGUGAGCAAAAUGAUUUAAUAAUUGCAAAAAUCGGGCGCAACAACAACAAAUAAUGCUAAAUUCGGUUAUAUUCCGCAGUAAAGCUAGAGCACAAGUUCUAAUUAAAAGUCUACCAUUUCGAAACCCUAACUUUGUUUUUAUUGUUGGAUUUUAUCUAAUAAUAAAUUUUGAUGAUAACAAAUAAAUUUUGAAUUUAAUUUGUCACUUAAUAAUUUCAGGUUGUAAUUGAAUUUGAAAUGGUUCAAGCCGAACCGGAAUUGAUCAAAAGUAACUAUUCAAUCAAAUUAUUCAAAUUGGCCCAGACAAGAUCAAAUUGUACCAAAUUGGAUGCAAGUGCCACAACAAUAAUUUGGAGGACUUCUUUACAAUUUAUCGGAUUUGAGCCGGUCAACCUAGUCAAUUUAACCAACUCACCUUUUGGGUUUAAUUUGAGUUUAACGUCAAAUUAGCCAUUAUUUUAAUACGGUAUGAAAGAGAUUUGAUAUAUGGUAUAAAUUUAAAAAUGAUUUUAUUAUGACACGAAUUUAAAAAUAUGAAAUAUGAUAGAAAUAAGUUUUAUAUGUAUGGUAUUAUUUUAAAAGCUUUUACAAAUAUGCAAUGAAUUUAAAAAGUUUUAUAUUUGCAGUAUUAAUUUAAAAGGAUUUUACGAAUUUGGUAUAAUUUCAAGUGAGCUUUUUAAUAUAAUAAUAUUUCAAAUGUGUUUUGCAAAUAUGGUAUGAAUUCAAAUUUAUUUUAAAAUUAAUUCAAAUGCAUUUGCAAAAUGGUUAAAAUUCAAAUUAAAAUCAAUUAUGAUUUAAUCAUGCUUUUGUUCCAUUUUUUAAAUGAUGGCAAAUGUAUUUAAAGGGGGGCUUGUAUGUUGUUUGUGAUAUAACUUCAGAAAAAUUUUCUAAGUCCUAAUUAUUUAUUGAUUUGUAAUUGUGAGUUUCAUUAAAAGGUUGUAAAAAAGUUUUGUGCGCUUGUAAACAGUUUUGGUCUUACCUUAUUCAAAAAGCCAAGUGAUAGUAAAAUCAGUACCUGUAGGAGAAGAAAGACCGGACUGGAGUAGACAGAAAGGCCGAAUCAGGAUAAAUCAUCUGUAUUAUUUGAGUUUGAUUUUCUUUUUUUAUUUGAUUGUGUAAUUUUUAUCUAGAUUUAAUUUUACUUGAGUUUUUACUUGUCAACUAAUUCACCCCCCUUUAGUUGUCAUUUGAUCCUUCUAUCCAAUCUUUUAAAAUUUUAAAAUUUUAAUUUUGCUGCAAAUUUUUGGAAAACUCUUUUAGUUUAGAUUUUGUGGAUUCCGUUUAUUUUAGUGUGUUUGAUUUGAGGAGGCUAAUUUCUAUUAAAGUAAACAGUACAAUUAGUUUUUAAACCGGAGUCAUCAAAUGCCUCAAAUCUAAGAAAUUAUACGAUAAGCAACAAAAGUGUACCAUAGCUCAAGUUCCAUGCAUUUUCACCAAACUUUAUUAUAACUCAUCAUUUGAGUAGAGAAAAAUUACGAGGAAAUUCAAGGGGACAAGUGAAAUUUGUGACUCAUUAUGUGACGCAUUGGGGAUUGGAUAAAAAGUAUGGAACAAUAUGCUUCUCCGCUGUCGCAUGUCAAUUUUACCUACAUUCGAGUGUGCAUUAGGAUUUUACUUAAUAUUAGAAAAAAAAAAAAAAAAAAAAAUCUAAUAAAAUGAAAAUAGAAGAGUUAAUAGAUACUUUACAAACUUAUGAAAUGGCUUUUUUCUAGUAAUACAUCUUCUUUACGUUUUUAUGACCCUCAAAUCAGUCAGGGAGGAAGACAAAUUCUUUUGCAUCGAAUUCGAAUAAAGAUGUCUCAACAGAAGAAUUUGAGAAGUAACUAGCAAUCGUCACGAAAAGAUUUCGACAGAAUUUUAACAGAAUAGAGCCAAAAGAUCAUCUUCAUCAUCCAAGCAAUCCGACAUGAAAAAGAGGGCUCUCAACUCAAAGAGACGUCGUUAGGAAACUUCCCACUUAAGUUAUUUUUUUCCAACUGUUACGAAAAUGGGGAGGCCAUAGUAGUACUAGAGGUCAAGAACCUUAAAAAGAGAUUCGAUACCAAUCUUGCUUCUUUCCUUCACCUUUCAAUGCUGCUGCCGUACGCGUCGUUCUCCAACCUCAACCCAACCCAACCCCCUCUUCUCCUCUGCGUAUCUGAUUCCUUUCCCCUUCCACUGUUUUUUCCUCCUCUUAACUGUGUCCCAGACAUUAUUAUGUGCUUUAACCCCCACAUUCCUAUAAAUACUACAAGGAUAGUACUUUUGAACCCAAACAACCCCAGAAAAUAGAACAGAGUCUUAAUCAGAGAUACCUAUCCUCCACAUUCUUCUGCUCCCCUCCCUCUGGAAAAGAAAUUCAGGCACUUAACAGACUGCUUUUUUCCAUGGAAAGCCAACCCCCUCCCGCCGGCCGCCCCCCGUGGUUCCGACUGGCCUCCAUCGCCCGCCAAGAAGCCCCGCCACAACCCCCGCCACCUCCAAGCCGGCCGCCCAUCUUUUCUGCAUUACGGUCGCGUGCCGAUCAGCCCACAGCCCAACCAACGCCAACGCCGCCGCCGCCGCCGCCGCCACCGUCGAUAUCGCCGCAACUGCCAGCGGCGCCCAGCACGGGCAACGGCAUUGCCGUCACGGGCGAGCAGCAAGCAUCCAGGCCGUCAACCGCACCGUCCCGACCUGCGACGCCUCAAUCCCCGAAAAUCAUCAAGACUUCUUCCCAGACGCCGCCCCUGUCCCCGAAGGCGUACCACCCGUUGCCCGCUGCCCCCAACCCGGAGCCUGAACCAAAGAUCAUACCAACGACCCCGAACCAAACAGGGAGCAUUGCUGCGAAAGGCGACAGCGAGAAGAACGGUUCCAAGGAUGCCGCCAAUGGCUUCGGCAACCUGCAGAGAGACGAGCCUGCUGUCGAAGAUAAGCGAACAGCCUCCGAGACAAAGAAAGAAGACGCGAGAGCGCCGCCUCCUUCCUCGUUACAUCCGACGCGGAGACAUGAUGAUAACAAAAUGAGGAUCAUAACAUUAGCAGGCAAGAAUGUGGGGGCUUACAUGGAGCUCGGGCCUUCUCUUGCGAGGAAAGUCGAAGCGAGUGCUUCUGGGAGCCACGGCGGAAAAGCUGUUGGUGAGAACUCGGCCAGCAAAAGCCCGAAGCCCUUAACCACCACGGUGAACAGCAAUGUGCAGAGCAUCAACAACUCGUGGCUCAUCAAUAGCUCAUGCAAUCUCCGAAGCCCCGGUGUGCAUGUCAAACUCGUUAGCCGCCGCAAGUCCAAGAAUGGCCGCCCCGCCGAUCCCGUAAAAGAGAACCCAAAAUAAACAUGCACCCCCCUUUCUCAAUCCACUCAUUUAAGUCUCUAUUAUAACUAAUAUUGCCUUGGGGUUAUAUUUAUAUUUGCAUGGUGUGUUGACAGUGUUGUAUAACUAAAUUCUCUCUAUGAAUAACAGGCACAGCAUAUUUGUAAACAUAUAGUGAUGCCUCAGCAUGUGUAAACAUAUAGUGAUGCCUACUAUAUAUAUAUAUAUAUGUUAUUAAUAGCACGAAGCACUUGGUGCUACCAAGUUUUCCGCCAUUAGAUCUACCCUUUUGAUCAUUUUCACCCGUUAGAUCAUACUAUUCAACCAACCACCCACUCAUCCCUACUAGGGAGCCCACAUCAUGCUAACCGCACAUCUCUUAAUCCAAUGGCCAAAAACUUGGUAGCACCAAUAACUUGGUGCUAUUAAUAGUAUAUUAGCCUAGUUCUUUCUAUAUAUAUAUAUAUAUAUAUAUAUAUAUAUAUAUAUGUCACAUUUGCAUACAGUGUAAACAAACCAACAUUUGACUCAAGAUGAAUUAACAAACGCGCUAACAAAUUUUCCAGUACGAAAAAUCGAGAGCAACAGAAAAAACAAGCAGCAUGAAAAAGAGCGGGAGUUUCAGAGUAAAAGCCAAUAUAUAAGAACAACAUAUUCAACAGUUAGAAAAAGGGAAGAGAACCAUAAAUUUUAUUAAGUUAGAUGUUAGUACGAAGGUUACACAUAUUUCACACCUAAAUUAUAUUCUAACAACUGGGGAAUAGAAGAGGACAGCAGGAUUGAUUAUUCUACAGCAUCUUCUGCUCGCGUAUUAUUUCCCCCACAGAAUUCCUAACUCAUGUACAGUUGAAAGAUGGAAAAUUCUCUAACUUAUUCAUAAGAAUAAAAGGAACAGAAAACUAAAGUGAGGAACAAUGGGCUACGUACAGAAAUUGCAGCCGCCUUUGGUUAUUUAGUCGUCUGGCUGCUCUCGCUUCACUGGUAGGUUAAAGGUGACGGCGGCUUCUGAAGAAGCAGAGCUGCCGUUUUGAUAACCGAAACUACCAGCUACAACGGAAUCACUUACCAUGUCGAAGCCCAAUCUGUUUUUCGCUCCACUGCGGCAGAUACCCAGAAGGGCAGUAAAAUAGGGGUUAAAGAUUUGUUUAUACAAUUAGUAAUUGGGCUCUUUGCAUAUAAACCACUGUAAAUACGCAAAAGUUGUGCAAUAUACACUUGCGAAGUUAGUUUGUGUGUGCGUGCUCCCGAAACCAUAUUUUUCUGCAUCCAUGCCUUUGCCAAGGGUUUAUAUGCAAAAGAUCUUUUCUGCAUAGACACCCUCUGGAGGGACGCGCACACAAAUAAGCUAAGUUUUCAGGUGUCAGAAGUACCUUCGCAGGGUUAACUGCAAAACAUUUUGAAUAUUUGAAGGGAAUAUGUGCAAAAUAUAGGGAAGAAAAAUGAAAAACUUAUUUAGUGUCUGUUUGGCUUAGGUCUUGAAGCAGCUUUCUUACUCCGUGCUUGGCAGACAAUAGGUAUUUCGCAGACAACAACUAUGGAGCUUUUGAUGUAUAAAGAAGUUCAAGCGAGCUUCUAGACCCCAAAUGCAGAAACUCCAAUUUGAAGGUUCUGCUACUGCAGCAACAAAUAGCUGGAGGGAUUUCAACAAGAAAUUUAUGCUUCUUCAAUCAGCUUUAUCCAAACAGCACUGCUGCAGAACCUUCGGAAGCCAAAAAGGCCCUUAAUGCUGCAACAGUUAUUGGAGGAUUACCAAUUCAGGCGCUUAUUUAUGUCCGUCAAAUCUUUGGAUGGACUCUGGUAAGCACGUGUGCUCUCCCCGACGCACGCGUAGUAACUCUUGGCACUUGGCGGUAGUAGAGUAUCUACCUGUUGAAAGAUGUAAGAGGCUUAAAUGACAAUAAUAAGACAACAUAAAUGUAGCUAAAAAAGCACAAGCAUAAGAGAGCGCACUCCCAUUAUUACAGCAUUCACUUGCUUUUCUAGUAUUCUGACCAUCAGAGCUUCCUUCAAUUAUGCAAAAAGAAUGUAGCAACAAAGCUUAGAGAUCUAACUUUGGUGUGCAAGCAUUCUACAACAGCAAAAGUAAUAAAUUACCUCCCCCAUCCCAAAACUUAAAUUAUGUAAUGCAGUAACUAAUAUAGAAUGAAAUAAUAAAGUGAAACACCGUUACUAAACAUCCAUUGUUCAAGUAUUUACAAGCUCAAUGUUGCAGCAUAUCAUUUGAUUCAAAAUUAGAAAAAAUUAGAGAGAGAGAGAGAGAGGCGUAAGAUUCCAUUACAAAAGGCAGGCUCUAAACACUCCCUCCCAGUACUCAACCUUUUGUGGGACCAUAAAAGGCCGGCUCCUCCAAUACAAAAUCUUCCCUACAAUAGGUAUUCCAUGUACGAGAGUAACGCCCAACAAAAAUUUGCUAUCUUGCACAGAAAAAUGUAAACAAAAUUUUUCUUUCACAUCUUCUCAAGUUUUUACUGCCCUCUCUUUGACAUCCACAAGCUUACAUAGCUCAAUGGGCACAAAUACCAUGCUGAACACAUGUUAUAGAGGAGACUCUCCAACUAUACAAAGAUGAAGAGUACACAGACUGCUUCCUCCAAUACAAAAUCUCCAUAUCUCCAAAGGCACUCUGAAAUCCUUGGCACAUCAUAUGCAUACAAUCAAGCUGAGACCACAGAAAAACCACUUUUAUCACCAUCCAUUGGAUAUUGGAAGCAUCACUUUAUAUUGCGGAUUACUAUCUAGUCUUUGUAUAGUUUGGAUGUAUUGGUGGAGAAACUGCAGCCCGACACGUGGUGCACGAUCUGGUUCAUCCACCAACCAAUAUCCCUCAGUAUAAAGGCUAGAUAUAACCGUCUCAGUCGCAGACCGGAGAGGGAAUAAUCCGAUCGGAUUCAAUCCUCGAGAAAUGAUCUCAAGGUCUCCACACAUGGGCUGAAGGCACAAGGCUUCGACUUGCGGACUUUGGCCGCUGAUCUGGCCGAAGGUAGAUAGCAGGACCGCUGAUCGACAGCAGUCCUCAAAACACAGGUUUUGCGCAGAUGGGGGCACGCAGGCUAGAAGCGUCUAUCAGUCAGAAAUGAGAUCUGAUUGGGUCCUCUAAUCUGAUGGAGAAGCAUUUGCCAGUCUGAUGCAUGAUCCAAUCAGGUCCUCCUGCUGGCCAGGCUGUGAUGCAUCUGGCCUUUCUUUAUCCCGGCCGCUGCUCCGAGCUAAGAUCGGAUGACGGGAUCCGUUUGUGAGUUACGGGAUCCGAGAUAAGAAGCUACACGUGGCGGAGGCAUACAGCGUGGCAGACGGGAUCCGUUUGUGAGUUACAGGAUCCAAGAUAAGAAGCUACACGUGGCGGAGGCAUGCAGCGUGGCAGAGCGUUCACCGGUAGAGACCGAGGUGGUCAGACUUGGUCGAAGUGGUUGCGGCCUGCGGGCGGUCAGAGUUGGAUGAGGUGGUGUUUCGAGGGAACUCUAAGUUACAGCUACUCCUAGAUUUUAUUAUGCCUACUCCUAAGGCUACGUUGGCCGAUGAUGAUCCUUUUUUUGUCCUGUGCUACUCUCCCUUAUAUAGUCUCAAGUCUCCGGCUUGGCAUAGAUACAAGCAAGGCAGCAUUUGCCGGGCGGUUACAUAUUAUUUUCCUCGGAUCGCUCUCAGAUGUCACGCCUACUUCCAUAUACUUCAGCAUCCAUUAUUUGAAGUUUGAAUUUCGAACGGGCCCAAGACUCGCCUUCUCCGGCCCUGCCGAAGUCUAGCAUCGAACAUAGUGCCGAAGCCUCUUCGGCACUCUCACAACUAGGUUAUAUGAUUAAAACAUAACAUACCAAAAUCCCUUGGAGUUGGAGCAUGUCAAUUUGGUGGCACAUGCCACAUGGCACAAGUCUUUUUUUUUUUUACUUUAAAAAUUUACAAUAAAGCUAGUUCUAUCAACAUUAAGUCUUGUACCAUGUGCUGAAGCAUCCGCCACAUCAAAGCCCUCCUGGGUUCGCCGCUUCCUAGUGCCGAAACAUAAUGCCAAAACCUCUGUCAGCAUUCUCAAAAUAGGUGUCAACAGCGGAAUUCCAGAAAGCUCAACACCACGGGAUUUUAAAUCUCAUGCACUUGCUGAUAAUCUUCUCAAUCCUCCAGACUCACCACUGUAAAGGCUAAAAUGGACUAGUGCAGUUAUUGUGUACCUACUGAUCCAAUCAAAUCUUGCUAGAUCUAAAAGCUCUAAUAAGAAAAAAGGGAUGAGCAUUGAACUUUCACCAAAAAAAAAGAAGCCAAGAUAUAUAGUAAGGAUCGAAGAAGCCUAGGCCUUCAUUGAACCAAUGUAUGCAUUAUCUAGUUUCAUAACAAAUAUUCGUUACAGGCUUAUGGAAAUACACUCAGAGCAACCAGACUCAGAUGGAAUCAUAACAGCAUAGAAGGGUCACAGAAGGACAAUCAAACCAAGUUUAGCAGCAAGCCAUAUGCAUGCAUAUAUAAAAAUUCAGCUUAAUUUCCAACGAAGGAAAUAUAACAGGUUGUGAUGGUAAAAGGCAAAGGUGCUAAAAUACAAUAACAAAGCCAAAUGAAAUUCAUAAACUGAUAUGCAAAUUUAAACAAGAAGGCACACCUUUGAUUGUCGCAGAGGAGAUACAUAAACAUUAUGAGAAGCAGAGACUUUUUUGGGCGACAUAUCUGGAAGCUUCGUGAAAGGAUAUAAUUUAGGUGAUCCCUGUCCCUGACCUGCUGAAAAAAAAACAGAAGAAAUAAAGAAUUCUUAGCAAAUUUCGGGUGAGAAACCAACACUAACUAGAAAAACCCAGAAUAUAUACCAUCUGUGAUAUUCCUGUCUUGCAUGUGAGCUCCUUCAUCUGUUAGCCCCCACAGCAAAGGUUUGACUGAUGGAAUGAAUAUUUCAUUGUAAAAGGUAAUGAUAUCAACGUGAUUAAGUCCCACCCCCUGCUUAUAAAAAGAAUCUAAUUAAUAGCCAGUUGAAAGUAAAUGACGGAACUAGCUAGAUCACUACAUAUUACCGCAUUUCCAUUUGCAGAUGAAAAACCAACAAAGACACUUCGAAAUACUCCCACUUUCCAUUGUGGUUCCUUUCUGUAAUUGUUGACAAUCUCCUUAAAAGUCAAAUUAGCAUGAGACACCUGUAUAAAAGAACAUAGAAUAUGUUAGAAUAGGGUGAAAUUCAAGAAACAGUUUGCAAGCAUUGCUGACUUUACCUUCGCAACACCAUAGAGGCAACAUAAAAUAAGUUGGUCGACAUGUCGAUUGAAAAACAGAGCUGUUUGGUGAAAAAGAAUUUGUUGAAAGAUACUAUAAACGCGCUCCAAGAUUUGUUGAGACUGCCGUAGCCUUUCACACAAGCUUCUGAUUCUAAUGGCAGCUAACUUUAAAAUCUGAAGAGUACAAAAUGAAAAUUUAGAUAAUGAAGGCAAAGUACGAAGCAUUUAUAUAUCUCAGAACUUUCAAGAUAACAUUGCCUUGCUGAAGAAGAUUUUGAUCCCAAUCUCGGCGCAAGUUUCACCACCUCCUACAGGGUUACGCUGAUUUGGACUGCCAAAAGAAUUAAAUGUGGAUUUAAUAUGAUUCAUAUGAUUACAUAUAUAGAUAUAUAUAGAUAGAUAGAUAGAUUUAUAUAAUACAUAUAGAUAUAUAGAUAUAUAAAAUUCAAAUUUUAAUACCGGAGAAAGAUGAUCGAACCUUGCAAAUGUCGGCUGAAGAGUCAGUACCCUUGAUUUUAGACUGUUAAAAGUCAAUAAACGUUCCUUGGUUGGCGGUGUAAAGGAAUUCCGUUCAACCAAAACACUCCUAAACUCGUUACAAGCUCUCUUUGGUGAUCGGGCCUCACCAUUCUGAUCUGUAACAAUAUCAACAUAAUUUCAUGAAUAGACCAUUUGUACCACAUCACUAUGGUAUAAUUAUUCUGGAAGGCAAAAGGUGCAAGGAAUAAACGGCGAGUAAGCCCGUAUAAAUAAAAUCAUAUUAUUCAUAUGCUACAAUGCUGAACAAAUAACAAGGAUAAGAAGUAAAACUCUUACAACCUGACACCUGCUAAACGUGCUAUCCUUCUGGUUUAAUCUUUUUUCACUAACGUAUAGCUUACAAUGUAGGUCCAUUUCAACAACAAUGAAAAGGUACCAUCAUAUUGUAAGGCACAAGCUUAAUAUUUGCAAUCAUCUUCCAUAUUAUCAAAGGUCAACACUGCCAUUCUAAUUGCUAUAUGAGAUGUCCAUGGAAAUAUGGAAGACCUGUGUGAAAUCAAACAAUCCUUUAUCAACCUACAUCAUUCAACGGUAAAUCACCAUCUUAUCAACUGUGCAACACAGAAAUUAAGUGUUUUGGGGCUAAAUGACUAUCUUAUAGAUUAUGCAACACAGAAACUGUGGUGUGCCUGCUUUUAACCUAAUGCAAACAUUGAAGCCAUGAAAAGUUAAAUCAAAACUUCAGAGUUCUGAAAACUACAUCUCAAUAAACAUGAAACUGGAAUAACUAUCUACUGGUAAUAUAUGAGGCAUACAUCUCUAACAAUUCAGGAUAGUGCAUUUCAUUGUAAGCACAAAAUGGAUAUUCACAAAGAACUUAUGAGAUUUCACAUUAAGUGAUAAAAUUAAUGAUAAACAAAUAUAUAAGUUCUUUUAAAGCCUCUAAUGCUCACAAAUUCACAAGAGAUAGCCGUUCAUCCACUAGUAAACAACUGUGAAGCAUCAUUCCAAAGGUGAGAAAAUACCUGGCAAAGCACCAUGUUUUCUAGAAGGCAAAGGUGGCAACCCUCUAUCAGCAAUAUUAUGUACUUCUAUUUCAUCAAGGGAAGGCAUCGGAUCAGCUAGUAGUGCCAGGCGAUUUAUUUCUACAGCGAGAGCCGGCCUCACAACGAUCAAGGAAUUAUACAGCGAUGAACCUUUCUCCAAUGCCUUGCUCUCCAAAAGUUGCUCUUCCAAAGAAUUCAAAUGCCUUUUUAGCUCUCUCGGAAGAGUUUCUUCAUGUCUAACGAAACUCUCAAUAACCUUGCUCAAAUCAAAAGCAGUUAACCCAACUGCCCUUAAGACAUCAGGAAGCAUCAUGACGACAGAUUUAUGUGUGGCCAAAACUAUUUCAGCCGAACAUGCAAGCAUGCAUCUGUGGAAACGCUCAUUGGAGAGUAGAGAAGUCAAAUUGUUUUCACUAAGCAGUUGCGAUUCUGCUUUACAGAUUGCCUCCAAAACUCUAUAGUACAGCUUCAAGGCCUCCAUUUUUCUCUCUUUUGCCCAUGUAGUAUCAAAUGAAAUAGAUCGUCCUCCAGAAGAACUGCUUGGAAAAAUUGCUUCCAGAAUGAUGUCGGCCCUACGUGUCACAUCGCUAGUAAUGUCCCUGUCGCAUGAAGCAAAAAAGCGCUCAAGCUCAGUGGAGGGUUUCGGUGGUAGCGAAGAUAUGACAUCUCGAAGCCACUUUGCUGAUGUCAUAGCAGAGCUGACUGGUGUCAUCUGAACCAUCUUUGAGCUAUUAAUGAAACAACCAUUUGUAGGCGAGGAAGGAGAACGAGGAAGAUUCAACAUGCUCUUUAUCGUCCUGGUUGGUGAGGCUAAACUUUCAAACUUAAACUGCAAAGAAAGGAAAUAAUCAUAAAUAAUUGGUGAGAAAAAGCCGUAUUCAAUAGUGAAGCCAUAAUUGCGUCAUCACAUUAGCAUACCCUUGUGCUGCAGAAAGUGGCUCCUGAUGUACUUUCGCUAUCAAGUAAAUUUUCCUCAUCAUUGACAAACAUCCGCUCAUCUAGCUCCCCUUGAGUGUUGAUUGCAUUCUCAUAAUGUCUCCCUAAAAUAAGUAUACUUGAUUGCAAUGACCUUUCAUCAAGUAGAUCCUUGAAAUAUAUUAAGCCAUCUGCCACAAAUAUGAUGGCAAAAGAAAUUAAUACAAACUGCAAAAAAUAAAUAAAUAAAUAAAUAAAUAAUCUAAACAAUGAGAAUGAGCCAAAAGCGCAGUAAAUUUUGGACCUGUGUUGAUUUGAUCGAAGUUUUCUGCUUUGCACUCUGAAGCAAGUGAUGGAUUCCUAUUCAGAAUAUCAACAAUCAAAUUUUGAGCCUUUCCCAUCAUUCUUUUUAAAUGAUCUUCCAAGGUAUGAUAAGUUUGACAGAGAGAAGCAAGAAGGUCCACGCCUUUUUCAGAUCUUUUGACUGGACAAAAGAGACAAACCAAAUCAACUGAUCUAGCAUAUAAGUAACAUGUAGAUAGUAAAAUGGACCCAAAAACAACACCAAAAUGAAAGCAUGACAAAAAUUGAGGACAAUUACCAAAGUGGAACGAAUCUUGAAUUGUGAAAUUCCUAAAUUCUGUGGGUACAUGAAUUAUGAGUAUGGCCUGCAACAUAUUAGACAUCUUCACAUAUACUUAAAUAGAAGAGUCGGCUACUCUACUGAUUAGACAGCAUACCAAUUGCAAAUAAAUAAACAAAUAUUGACAAGUAAAAGUAAAAGAAAAGGAGGAAAAGCUAACCAGAAUAGCUACUAAUCCAUGAAUACAUGAUACGAGAUCUUUAAAUAGUUCAGGGGUGUGGAUACGAAGAGCUAAGAACAGCAACCAUCCAAAAUGAUAGAAUUCUGAAUAUUUUCUAAUACAGCCAGAAAUAGAACAAUGCUGAACAUUGCUUGGGCUUGAGAACAACUCCUUGUAUGCUUUAUCGUAGAACCUGAUGCGUCAUUGUAAAUAUCUAGGUCAAAAUUUAGGCUUACGGCAGGUGAUGACCAAAGAAACUUCAAACAAAAUCCAACAAGCAACAGACAGUGGCAGUAAAUUAUAAAAAUAAAAUAAAAUAAAAUAAAAUAAAAUAAAUCACCUACUUUGACAGAUAUAUAUAUAGAAUUAGGCUACUAUACUAUCUAUAGUACCGAAGCUCCGGUACUAUAGUGUUGUUUUCGAUCUUAAGGUGUUCAAAUUAACGAUCCACACCGUUAAAUAUGAUCUAGAAUAUAUGAAGUUCUUAGGAAUAAAAUUUUAGUUUUUUUCGACAUCGUUUACUUAGUAAAUAAAUUAUGUCAAAAUGGACGGUGGAAAUUGAAUAAUCUUUAAAAUUUGAGCAUAGGACUUUUAAAUUCAAGAUCAAGAAUGUUAACCUUAAUCUAGAUAGUUUAAAGUAUUUUCUAUGAAAAUUUGAAGAAAUUUAGAUUCUUCUACACCGUUAAACUCCAAACUCGCCAUAGUAGCCAUUGAAAAUUGACAAUUUUGAAAUGGUUUGAUCAUAAAGUAAACUAUAUCGAAAAAAUAUAAAAUUUUAUUUCUAAAAACUUUAAAUACCCUAGAUCAAUUUUAACGGUGUUGAUCGUUGAUUUGAACACCCUAAGAUCGAAAAUAAGACUAUAGUACCGGAGCCCCGGUACUAUAGAUAGUAUAAGAGACUAGCUCGAUAUAUAUAUAUAUAUAUAUAUAUAUAUAUAUAUGUGUGUGUGUGUGUGUGUGUGUGUGUGUGUGUGUGUAAAGGAGAAGAGAAUGGAAUUUUCUCAGAUUAUUGAAUAUUUGUUUUUCAAAAUGAUGUAAUAUAUAUUAUCAUGUGAAACAUACUUUUACAUAUAGGCCCCACUAAUUUAUGAAAAUUAUACGCAAUUUAUAUUGCGAUUUAAAAAAAAAUUAGUAAACUAUAAAUUAUGUAUGUUGUUAUUUUGUAAUUUGAAAAGUUGGUAAAUUAUGUGCAAGAAUUUUACUUUAAAAAAAAUGAUGAAAUUGUGAGUAACUAUAACUUAUGAAUGUUACCACUUAAUAAAGUAUGGAGAAACUGCAAUUUAUGCAUGUUGUACUUUCUGAUUUGAAAGGUUGGUAAGUUGUCUGCAAGAAUUAAUUUAUCUUUUCUGAAAAACACUUUACAUAACUAUAGGUUAUUUGUAAACUGGAAUAAAAUUGUGACAUUGAUUACAAGUUAUAAACAAGUUUUGACCUCGAAUUUGAAUUCAUUCUCACCUUCUAUUAGCUCUCAAAUGAGCCCAUAAGUUUAGAAUUAGAUUAAAUUAAAAUUUGUUAUAAUUAUUAGACUUUCCGGCAAAAGUCAUAGCUUUGUAUAAUAGUUGUUCAAGCCACCUGUCAGUCCUCCUAUGAGCCUUGACAUCCAUCCACCUAGGUGUCUCUUUGCAUGGCUUCUAAGCCAUCUAGAUAUAAAAAAGUGAAAUUAUAUUCCAUGCAUAGUUUAGCUUUAGUUCCUCAUAGAUGGUUUUCUCUCUCUCUCUCUCUACAUAAAAGGGAGAUAGGAAGUAAAGGAAUUUGGUUGGACUAGAUACACAUAAGGGGAAGAGAGAGAGGGUGAAGAAGAAUGACAAGGAGAGAAAUGUUGCCAUGUUGUAGAUACCAUCAUUGCCUCAGUCGUCACGCACAGUCAAUCUGCAGUCAACAACCACUACCCCGACCGUCAUGCAAGACCGAUCGUUGCCAUCACCGCUAUAGUCGCACAACCAACUUUCAGUCAUGGAUCUCAUGCGGAUUUGGUACUUGUAUAAAUAUAUAAUAUAUAAAAUAUAGAAUUUAUCGAUAUAAUUACAUAAAGUUAGUUAGCUAUAAUAUAUUUCUAAAGUAUAAAAUAAUAUAAUUAUUUUGUAAUAUUUUAUUCCUCCACUGCGAACCACGGAUUUUACGCUAGUAUAGCACAAAAGUGGAAGGUCGUAGACACAUCUGGUGGACAUUUAAAGAGCGUUUACUAGGAAGCUAACCUCUUUAGCAUUAUGAGCCCAAGCGCCUAGACAAGCAAGUGGUAUGGUCUUUUUCAUAACUUCCCCUACAACUUUAAAUUGCAAUCAUAAUUUUAGCAGAGAAACUUCUGUAUGAUUUCUGUAAAAGGAAACAGAACUUUUAGCUGAAACCAUCUGAUUCUCUAGAUCAACGGUGCAGAGAGUUUGAAGUGACUGUUUAUACCAGCUAUACAUAAUACAUACUGGUGCCGGAAGAGAAGUCCAACUUUUCUUAUGGGCGGACAAGGUACAAAAAAAGAAGUCACAAAUUUCUCUUCGUAAGAAGGUAAUCCCACACGACUAGGUGACCAGUAGGCUGUUGUUGAAUGCAUAAUGGAAGAGAUAUAGAGAGGGAAAGUAAGUCAGUUAAUGGACAAUCAAUAUAAACGAAGAAAUUACGGCAAACUUGAUAGCCAUAAUAAUCUAUUUAUGACCAGAAACCCGAAGGGUGGUUUGCACUACUAGUCCCUGAACUUUCAGUGAAGUUUCAUUUUGGUCUCAAACUUGUAAUUUCGACAUUUAAGACCCCUAACUCUCUAAGUUGUCUCACUAUAGCAUCUAGUCUUUACUAUAGAGAAAAAAGCUAUUGUCUGCGCCUAAUUCAUUCGAGCUAUUGCCUGCUCCUAAUUCAUUCGAGCUAUUGUCUGCUCCUAAUUCAUUCGAGCUAUUGUCUGCUCCUAAUUCAUUCAAGCUAUUGUAUGCUCCUAAUUCAUUCACGUAUCUAUGCACCACGAAUCCAUUGGCCAUUCAUCCAUCUCAUAUUUUUAAUCUAGCAUUCCAGUAUCUGAAUAUAGAAAAGGCUACACCUCGAUAGGUGGUAGGAUUCAAAAAUGAAAUGGGAGAUCAAGGCUCCAUAGAUGCAUGGUGCUUAAAUUUAUAGAUGCAUCAGGUGUAGGCAAUAACUCUAAUAAUAAAAUUAACAUAACGACUAAAGUGAAACACUUUUAAGAAUUUCAGGUUUAACAUGUCAAACUAAAAAAAAUCCAAGGACCAAAGUGAAACUCGGCCAAAAGUUUAGGGAUAUGGUGGAAUUUACCCAGAUGGGUGAUUACUUACCCCAAAAAAUUAUAACUUCCUUCAGUUGUGGGGAAAAAAAUUAUAAAUCACUUUCUCACCAACGCAUUUUCUAUCGUUGGACAGUACAAAUAAUGCUUUGAGAUUCGGAUUGAGUGUUAUCUGUUGGUAGGAAAGCAUUUAGAGAUGGAAAAAGCCGUGAGCAACUUUUGCACUCGCUUCCCUUCUCUGGAAGAUGAGGAAGAAUUGAGAGGUAGCUCAUACUUCCCAAUCCUCCCAUAAUAUGAGAAUCACUAAUUAACUAGAUUGUUUUAUUGAUUUCCGAUAAAACCUUGAAGAGUUUGAUAUUACCUUCAUUUGCCGUCUUACCUUUCAAAGAUAUUGUAUAGAAGCAUUCCUCGAAUUUUAAAUCUCUUCUAUUGAUAACAGGGAUGGUUAAAUUUGUUCUUUUUAUUCAAUUUUCACUUUGAAAGAUGGGGUGCUUGUGAGUCAAAAUAAUUUUUGCAGUUUCAUUGUUUUCUUUUUUCUUUUUUCUUGACAGUAAAGUACAAUGUACAUUGACUUUUAUACAGUGAGUUAAGUGGAUGAGGCCUUCUUCUCCACUUGACUCAAGGCGGGGGCCCCUAGACUUUGCUACAAGACUGGACUCCAAACUCCAAAGGUUUCGAGAUCUCCUGUGAGGAGAAGUUUUCAUACGGUGAGUUAAGUGGAGAUCUGGGCAGCCAUCUAGUACAUUUAAGGGAGGCAAUAACUUGGUCUUUGUUAAGAAAUUGGCAACCAUCCAUGAAAUUAGUGAGGUAAUCAAGCCUUAUAUAUUAGCAAGUUAAAUGAAUGUGUUUAUCCCAUACAUCUUGGAACCAACUGCAUAUAGUUCAGAGAGUUACCAGUUGUCCGACAACAGGGAACAAACCCCACAAAAUGUAAAUGAGACGAAACCAAAAAAAAGAAUAUGUAAUCCAAGCAUAUACCCAGUUCUUUGUAUCAUCAGCUUUUCAUGUAAAAUUUCUACGACGACAAGGUUAUGUAAUCAAAUUAUCACUCAUAAAAGAUAAAACUAUGAUAGGGAAGAGGUGAAAAGUCUAUUAAGGAAAGAGAACAGAGGUGAAGGGGCUUACUUGCUCGCAUCUGUUAACAGCUUUAUGUACUUCUCCAAUUGCUUCAGCUGAAACAUUAAAUUGCACAGACCGACAAAACAUAAAGUAAGUUACACAAACAGAAUUCAAUAUGGUUCAUACCAAGAAGUUACCUCGAGCUUUUCUUCCCAAUCAGAUCCAUAAAAUUUGCUUAAAAUCUGAUCAAAUUUAAGAGAAAAUUGUUGCGCCUCUUUGAAGAAAUCAUCGAGUCUACGAAGAAAAAUAUAGGAUUAUCAGUCAAAUAGAUUACAGAUAUGACCCCAAAGAAAUAAGAAUUAACAAAAAAGAAACCACCUACUUAAGCUUAGAACACCUCAAGACCUGGCACAAUCUAAUCCUUUCCUCUUUCUUCUCUUCCUUCCCCUGCCCCUUUCUCAAUUUCGCCGCACAGAACAAAACAUAGGCGGCGCGGAAUUUCUCAAUCUCAAUCGGCUACAAAGACUCAAUAUUUAGAUUCAAUUCAAACCAAAUCACAGCAAAUAAACCAAACCAUAGAUCAUUCGUGGAAAGAAGCAGCAAUACCUGCCUAGUUCCGAAUGGCGAGGCGAAGCGAAUGUUCUUGCUUUCCUUCAACAGGGAUACCGCCUCCCUCUUCAGAUCCUCACCAACAUCCAAUCCCUUCACCUCAACCAAAUCCCCACGUCAAUCACAAACUGAGAACAAAACAAGAGAGAGAGAGAGAGGGAAAGAGAGAUCGAGGAAGAGGGAGAAAGAGAGACCUUGCAGAGAUCGUAGAAUCCCGCACCCACGCCGCCUCCAUCCUCCGAGUUCGGCGACACCGCAUCCUCCGCCGCCGCCGCCGCCGCCGCCGCCUCGGAACUCAUCUAAACCCUAGCAGAUUCCAAAUCACAAGAGCCUCAUGAUCUCCGAUCACGCGAUCGAAGAAUCCCUACUCAAAUCAGAGAGAAACAAGUAGGAGAUCGAUCGAACGCGAUUACGCUACGGGGAUCCACGGAUCCUGGCACCAAUUCCCCGAUCCUCGCCUCGAUCCUCCCCCCGAUCCGCCGCGGGAUCGGCAAAAUUAGGUUGAGGGUUACGGGAGAAUUAGGGUUAGGGUUUCGGGGAUCGGCGCGGAGGAGGGAAUCGAAGAGCUCCUCUCUCUCUCUCUCUCUCUCUCUCUCUCUCUUUCCCUCUCUUUCUCUUUUCUUUUUUUUUCUUUUUUUUUUUGCGUUUUUCUUUCCCUCGUUUUUUUUUAUUUAUAAUAAUCCCGGGGUUGUUUUUGUAUGCAAGAAACCGCCCAUCCACCUCCGAUUUAGCGCGGGAAAGGGGAACAUGUGCGUGUUCGUACGGAGUUUAUCCAAUGAGGAGGCGACACGUGGAAUGUAGACGUUAUUUACCGCCUAAUUCAUUAUUUUAUACCGUUAUAUAUUUGUUACAUAUAAUAAUAUAAUAUUAUAUAUUUGGGAUUUAUGUUUAUCGAUUGCGGGGGAAAGUGCAUGGAGACCCCUCAACUAUAUUUCGUUUUUGAAAUUGUCCUCUCAAUGUUAGUAUUUUAAAUUGACUCAUCUUAAUUUCUAUUUUUCUUUUUCUUUUUUUGUUUAAGAAGUUCACAUUAGCUAAGCUUGAAACCUCGUUAACCUAUUAGUUGACAAUUAUUUUAGAUUUGUUCACUAUAAGUUAAAUUUGCUUUAAAAAUUAUCUAAAAUUUUUAAAAAAAUUGCUGGAAUUGUUAAAAAAUUAUAUAAAAUUUUUAAUUAUUUGGCUAAAUUCAAAAGUUAAGAUGGCAUGAAUAAAACUUGGUAAUCUUAGAUAGAUAAGCUUAUCAUUUGUUUAAAAUUACUCUUUUCAACUUUUGCAUUUGGAACUAUAACUAAGUUGGGCGUAGUUCCGACUGCUACAGUUGAGCCUUCUUGUACAAUUUUAAUUACAGUAAAUAAAUUCAAAUACAGCAAAUCAAACACUAUAUUCGAAUCUAUAUGUAGUUACAAUUACAGUGCAAUUAUAAAUUACAUGUAAUUAAAAAGUCACAAAAGAAGAGCGUAAGAGAUGGACUGUAUUUUAUUUCUUCAAACGCAAUGAUUAAAGUCCCACCUCGUGCUGUACAAUACGGAGCGACACGUAUCGUGCCCCCAAGAAGGGAGCAAGAUAUAGGGGGAGUUUCGGACCACCCUUCGUACCGCACACUAUGUUUUAUUUUUUGCUUUUCUUUUUCUCUUUGCUUUCUUUUCCUUUUUCUUUUGUUAUUUGGGGUACCAAAAAAUAUUCGUGUACUCUACAUUUUCGAAAAAUAUUACAAAUCGAAAAUCUACUUGUUAGAUAAGUCAAAAAAAAAGUAUAAUUUAUUUUUUUUGUUUACAAAUAUACUGCCAAAUUUUUAAUUUACAUAUCCGAUCCUAUCAGCCCGAACCAUUUGCUUCCACCACAGACAUCCAUUUUUUCUUAACAAACUAUUUUAUCUAAAUUUCUCGCACCGCAAAACUUUUAGCGAAUUAGAAAAACAAAGUCGAACUCAAUAAACAAAAUUUAAGACACAUCAAAUAUAAAAUUUUAUUUUUACGCUAGAAAAUUAAAAAUACUGAUAAAAUUAAAAGUUAAAUUAAAUUAAUUGAUAUACUUAAAUUUAUUUAAUUUAUUUGUUAUAUAAUUUAUUGCUUAAGUUUUUUUGAUAGAUCUAAUAAUUUAAAAAAAUUAAUUAAAAAAUAAUUUUUUCAAACACUUUUUAAAAUAAUUUUUCAAAUAAUUUUUAAAUAAUUUUAAAAUUUAUUUUUUGUAUUUUAUAAAAGAAAUACUAUAAUAUAAUCAAAAGAAAUAAAGAAAGAAAUUAUUUUUUGCAUUUUAAAAAUUUUAACAUGCAAAAAUUUUUAUUCUGCAUCAGGUAUAGUUGUAUUUUACAAAAAUUAAUUAAAAAAUAAUUUUUUCAAACACUUUUUAAAAUAAUUUUUCAAAUAAUUUUUAAAUAAUUUUAAAAUUUAUUUUUUGUAUUUUAUAAAAGAAAUACUAUAAUAUAAUCAAAAGAAAUAAAGAAAGAAAGAUAUUUUUGCAUUUUAAAAAUUUUAACAUGCAAAAAUUUUUAUUCUGCAUCAGGUAUAGUUGUAUUUUACAUACAAAAAAAGUUACAGAUAUAUUAUUUUUUCAAAAUAAUAUUAUAAAAAUUUAUUGGAACCAAAAAAAUUAAAAUAAGUCAAUACCAAAGUAUGCCAGUAGAAUGUCAUGCGUAUCUAUCGACACACAAGUGUACCAUGUGUCAGUACGGAAGUAUGCCUGUGUCGUACCAUAUCAGGAAGACAACGGCACGCCUCAAUGCCAUGGUACUUUAAACCUUACUUAAAGGGUAUAGUUUCAACUAUUACAAUUGAGCCUCAUUGUGUAGCGCCAAUUGUAGUAGUUGGAUUCAAAUAUAUCGAAUCCAUUUUAUAUUUGAAUCUAUACUUAGUUUCAAUUAUAGUGCAGUUACAAAUAUAUGCAACUAAAUAGUCACUAAAAAAUGAGCAUAACAGGCGCAGUUCUAACUAUUACAGUUGAACCUUUUUAUAUCGUACCAACUAGAAUAAUUAAAAUCAAAUAUAUAAAAUCAAAUACUAAACUAGAAUCUUCGUGCAAUUAUAAUUACAGUAUAGUUAUAAACACAAUCAACUAAAGUGUCCAUAUAUAAAAGGAGGCCGGACGGGUAAGAAAUGGAUCAUAUUUUGUUUUCUUAAUAUGCAUAUUUCCAACUAUUGCCGUUGAACCUUCUCAAACAAUUUCGACUGUAGCAGUUGAAUCAAAUCCAUCAAAUCAAAUACUAUAUUCAAAUCAGCAUGUAGUUAUUAUGAUCACGGUAUAGCUAAGAAUACAAGGUUUUUUUUUGCAUUUAGCCCUCUCAGAAUUUUUUUCCACAAAUAGUCUCAAAAAAUUUAUAUUUGCAAGAUUGGCUCUAUCCCUGUCACACGAGCGCCACGUGAGCUGGUGGCCCAGGCUAAGUUGAACACAAUGAAUCAUUCAUCGUGUUUGGACACGGUGAAUGGUUCACCGCGUUUAUUGUUUUAUAUAUUUCUGUAAGUUAUAUAAGUUUGAGUUGAACACGAUGAAUCAUUCACCAUGUCCAAAUACGAUUGGUUCACCGUAUUCAACUUAUCCCUAGGCCGCCAGUCAUGCUCACGUGACGCUUGCUUGGCGAGAAUAGAGUCAAUUUUACAAAUAUAAAUUUUAUGGAGCUAUUUAUGAAAAAAAAUUUCUGAGGAGGCUAAAUACACAAGAAAGUCUAAAAAUGCAUGCAAUUAGGGGCAUGUUUGUUUGGGUAGAAGUGGGGUGGAAGUGGAGAGGAGGGAAGUUAUUUUCGCUGUAAACGAUCACUUCCGUUGUUUUGUUCGCCGUAAAAAAGUUACGGUCGAAACUCCAGUUAAUUUGAAACGGCAUAAUUGACUUCGGCCUAUCGUGGGCCAAAAUCAAUUACGGUGAAAAGAGGUGAAGAAAAAAUAAUAAAAUAAUAUAUUAGGUAAAGAUAGUUAUAUUUAAAUAUAUUUAAUUAGGGUACUAAUUAUUCUUUUAUUCAUUUGACAUAUUUAAAAUAUGAUAAAAAUUGAUUAGUUAAGUUUUAAUAUUUUUUAAUUUAGUUUGUAUAAUUAAAAUAUGAUAAAAAUUGACUAAUUAAAUAUUACUUUUUUUAUUUUAUAACUUUAUUGUUGUAUUACUGUAAUUUAUAUAUAAAAAAAUAAUUUAGUUGCUUUAAAUUAAAUUUUAAUAAUAUAAAAAUAUAAUUAUAUUAUUUUUAUUUAUUAAAUUAUGUAUAUUUAUACAUAAGUUAUAGUUUUAUAUCAUAUACUUUCCACCAAACAAACAGCAAAACUAAUGAAACUUCACUUCCAUAACAACAAAACAAACAGCGGAGAAGAAGUAAUUUUCACCGAACUCCACUUCAACCUAAAGUUCACUUCAACCCAAAAUCUAGUUUCAGUAAAACAAACAUGCAAGUCUCUAAGUGGCCGUUUGGUUGCAUGUAGUUGCAACUACACUGCAGUUGUAACUGCAUGUAAAUACAAAUUUCGUACUUGGUUUGAUAUAUUUAACUCCAACUGCUGCAAUAGGAAUUGCAGGAGGAGGCCCAACUGCAGCAGUUCGAACUACGCCCAAAUUAGCCGCAGUUCCAACUACAGCAGUUAGAGAGAGUAACUUUAAAUAAAAGGUAUGCUUACCUCCUCAAUAUUUUUUAAACAAAAAUUAUUUUCCUUUUUUACAUUAGAGGUAAUCUCACCAUCAUAUAUAAAAUAAUAAAAUUUUAAAAAUUAUUUCUCAACUGCAUACAAUCAAACAAAUUAUUUAUACUUACAGCGCUUUCUACUACAGCCAACCAAACAUGAUUCAUGUAGUUGUACUUACUGUAUUUUCAACUGUAUGCAUCUCUAACUACAGUACAUUUAUAAUUACAUCUAACCAAACAGCCCUAAGAGGAGGACGCAAGUGAUAAAUCGUAUUUUGUUUUCUUACUAGGCAUUUUUAAUAGGGCCCAUGAGAAUGAUGAUUUAUGAUUUCGGGCAGGCCCGUUAAUCUAUUUUGUUUUCUUAACGGGCCUUGGGUCCAAGUUGGGGAUUGAAUGUACGGGUUUAGAAUUAGGCCGAAAAGAGUUGGGAGGAGAGUAGGGAUGUUGGGUACGGAUGCCCAAAAUUUUAUAAACCGGUAUCCGGACAAAAUAGAUUUAUUUAAUACUAAAUGAAUAUAGAUUCGAUAUGAAUAUCAAAAGAAAAAAAAAACGAAUUUGGAUUCGGAUAUAAAUUUUGAUUGUACCCGACUCAAACCCGAACCCAAAUUAAUUUUAUAUUAUAUAAUGUGUGUGUGUAUAUAUAUGUUUGAUGCUAUGUUUAAAUUUGUAUUUUAAUAUGCUUUGAAAUAUUAUAACGAGAAAUAUUUGUUUCUGGUUCGGAUUUCGGAUUUUUGGUAGUUCGGGUUCCAGGCUUGAUAGUCGGGUUUGAGUUCGAAUUUUUGAAAACUCACCCCAAAUCCGACAUGUUGACAUCUCUAACCGGAAGCAUAUAGAAAUAUAUUUUCAAAUUUUUGGUGGAGACAAAAUAAAAUAUAGUAGAUUACAAAAAAAAAAAAAGAAAAAUCAUGAUUACAACCCAAAAAAAUAAAACCUCAUAACACAGAAAUUACAGUUAUACAAACAUCCGAAAAAGUUUUUAUGGUUCUGUUUGGAUAUAUAAAUAUUUUGUUGAAUAUAUUUUUUUUGAUUUACAGAAAAAGGUUAUAUUAUUUGAUAGACGAGUAGUGUGACCGAACCUUAUUUUGAUGUGAUUGAAGAGUGAUAAUAUGUUUCGCCGUGAUCAUUUUAUGAUGUGAUUGAAAGUUACGAGUCUAAAUUAUUUGAAUUGAAAAGUUAAUUCAGCUAAUUAAAUUAGAAACUUAAAAAAAAAAUAAUUGUAGAAACAAACUAGUUAUUUUUAAAAAAAUCUUUUCAAAUUUACAAAAUAACUUUCUAAUUUGGUAAUUAAAAAUUAAGUUUCUUUCAAAAAUUAAGUUAUUUUAGUUAUCUACGGUUCUGAACUACGAAUUUUUUUCAUAAAAUUAAGUUAUUUUGCACCAAUUGAAUUAGAAAUUUUCAAGUUAAUUAAUUAAAUUAGAGAUUUAGUAAGUACUUGUUCGGUUUUCCUUCACUGACCAUAAUUUUAAAAUUUUAAAAUUGAAAUUUUUUUCAAUUAAAUUAGAAUUAAAAUUGUUGUUUUUUUAAAAAUUAAAAUACGUCAGUUUAGUGAAUUAGAAAUUAAAAACUUAGUUGUAAUUCAUUGAUCAAAAUUUCUAUUAAAAAUUAAAUCAUUUCAAUUAACUGGAUUAGAAAUUUUUUAAACUAAGUUAACUAUCGUAAAAUUUUCUUUUUGAAAUUAAGUUCUUUUUGUUAGUUGAAUUAGAAAUUUACUAAGUACUUGUUUUUGAAUAUAUAGUUACAAAAAAUUCUAAGAAUUUAAAGUACUUUUGUUAAUUGAAUUAGAAAUUUAUUUGACUUUUUUUAUUAAAAAAGCCACUGGUUUUGCAUUUUUGCAAAAGCGACCACUAUUUUCAAUUUUUUUUAGAUUCGAUCUGAAAUUUUCAAAAUAUAGCUGAAAUACCCUUCCGCCCAUUAUAUAUAGGGCAGGUAGGGCUGUCAACGAGCCAAACACGAGGGAGUUGAAGCCAGCUCGAGCUUGGCUCGACAGUCUUCAAGGUCGGCUCGUGUUCGGCUCGAGCUCGUGACGAGCUCGAAAAGUCCAGCUUGUGAUCGGCUCGCAACUUAUUCGAGCUAGCUCAUGUUCUGCUCAUUAACUCAAUGGAAGAAUGAAGAUGAAGAUCGCGGUGUGCCUGUUGAAAGCGAACGGCGAAGAAUGAACGCGCCGCUGCCAGAGUUCCAUCGCGGUGUGCGAACGGCGAAGAGUGCGCUGUCGGUGUGUGCGAACGACGAAGAGUGCAUUGCCGGGAUGUGUGAACGGCGAAGAGUGCUCUGCUGGCGUGUACGAACGGCGAAGAGUGCUCUGCUGGCGUGUACGAACGGCGAAGAGUGCGCUGCCGGCGUGCCACCUAGUGGGGGUAUGCGAGAUGUGCGAAGUUUGAAGUGUGGCAGUAAGAGAGAGAGAGAGAGAGAGAGAGAGAGAGAGAGGCUGCGUGAGAGAGAAAGAAAGAGAGGGAGGCGGUUGUGUGGCUGUGUGGUGUCAAAAAGGUGGAAAAAGGGUUAGGGUUAGGAAUAAAGAGUUAAAAGUCGUUAGAUUUUGAUCCAAGGGUUGAUAUACUAAAUAUAAAUAAAUCUGGGAUUUUUUUAAAAAAUUGGGCUAAAAAUUUAAAAAUAAAAAUCUGUAUUAUAUAUUUAUAUACAAAUAUAAUUAUAUAUUUAUAUAUAUAAAUAUAAUAUAUAUAUAUAUAUAAUUAUAUUAAUACAAAAUAAAUAUAAUCGAGCUGUUAUCGAGUCGAACACGAGCGAGCUGAUCCUAGCUCGUGUUCGGCUCGUUUAUUAAACGAGCUGAAAAAUUCAGCUCAUAUUCGGCUUGUUUACUAAACGAGUAACUCGAUUUCGAGUCGAACAUGAACUGGCUCGCGAACGGCGAGCUGGAUUGCCACCCCUAAGGGCAGGUCAUGCAUAGGGGGAUGCAAAUGGGGCGGAUUCGGGGAUGGGAGGGUUCCCCCACCUCCCGCUUCAUUUUUUGUCGGGGUGGGGCGGAUUCGGAGCAGGUUAUUUUUCAUUUUAUUUUUGGCUCCCACUUACCACCCCAUUCAGUGCGGAUUGGGACGAGAGCAGAUUUUUGACGGAUCGGCCAGAUUGAAAGAAGAAAAGGUUUUCCGCCUUCCGCUCCAUUUAUUUGGCAGAUCAAGACGGAUUCAGAGUGGAUUAUUUUUUUCUAUAUUUUUUGUUUCCACUUACCGCACCAUUCAGGACGGAUCGAGGCAAGAGCUCCACCAACCGAGAUCCAUUUGCAUCCCCAAUCAUGCAUCCAAAGCUUUUUUUCUUCUUUUUAUUUUGAAAGAUAGGUAGCACGCUACUCGCUUCGUUUAUUUUAUUUAGAAAUAAAUUUAGCAAGAAAUGUGAACAACUAGGAUUCGAACUUAGAUCUCGGAUACCAACAAUCAAGCUCUUUGUUACCUGCUCUAGAGACGGUCGGUGU
rnacentral:lncRNA from 1 species